AUACGGAGGGUGCGAGCGUUACUCGGAGUCACUGGGCGUAAAGCGUCCGUAGGCGGUCGGGUAAGUCGGGUGUGAAAGCCCCGGGCUCAACCUGGGAAGUGCACCCGAUACUGCUCGACUCGAGUGCGGGAGAGGAUGGCGGAAUUCCCGGUGUAGCGGUGAAAUGCGUAGAGAUCGGGAGGAACACCAGUGGCGAAGGCGGCCAUCUGGCCCGCAAUUGACGCUGAGGGACGAAAGCGUGGGGAGCAAACAGGAUUAGAAACCCUAGUAGUCC
rnacentral:rRNA from 1 species